rnacentral:rRNA from 1 species
ACCCGCACAAGCGGUGGAUGAUGUGGUUUAAUUCGAUGCAACGCGAAAACCUUACCCACCUUUGACAUGUACGGAAUCCUUUAGAGAUAGAGGAGUGCUCGAAAGAGAGCCGUAACACAGGUGCUGCAUGGCUGUCGUCAGCUCGUGUCGUGAGAUGUUGGGUUAAGUCCCGCAACGAGCGCAACCCUUGUCAUUAGUUGCUACGAAAGGGCACUCUAAUGAGACUGCCGGUGACAAACCGGAGGAAGGUGGGGAUGACGUCAAGUCCUCAUGGCCCUUAUAGGUGGGGCUACACACGUCAUACAAUGGCUGGUACAAAGGGUUGCCAACCCGCGAGGGGGAGCCAAUCCCAUAAAGCCAGUCGUAGUCCGGAUCGCAGUCUGUAACUCGACUGCGUGAAGUCGGAAUCGCUAGUAAUCGUGGAUCAGCAUGUCACGGUGAAUACGUUCCCGGGUCUU